rnacentral:rRNA from 1 species
GACGAACGCUGGCGGCGUGCUUAACACAUGCAAGUCGAACGGAAAGGCCCCUUUGUGGGUACUCGAGUGGCGAACGGGUGAGUAACACGUGAGUAACCUGCCCUUGACUUCGGGAUAACUUCAGGAAACUGGGGCUAAUACCAGAUAGGAAUCCUUGCUGCAUGGUGGGGGUUGGAAAGUUUCGGCGGUUUUGGAUGUACUCGCGGCUUAUCUGCUUGUUGGUGGGGUUGUGGCUUACCAAGGCUUUGACGGGUAGCCGGCCUGAGAGGGCGACCGGCCACAUUGGGACUGAGAUACGGCCCAGACUCCUACGGGAGGCAGCAGUGGGGAAUAUUGCACAAUGGGCGGAAGCCUGAUGCAGCAACGCCGCGUGCGGGAUGACGGCCUUCGGGUUGUAAACCGAUUUCAGCAGGGGCGAAGCUUGUGGUGACGGUACCUGCAGAAGAAGCACCGGCUAACUACGUG